rnacentral:rRNA from 1 species
GCGGCGGACGGGUUAGUAACGCGUGGGAACGUACCCAGAUCUAAGGAAUAGCCACUGGAAACGGUGAGUAAUACCUUAUACGCCCUUCGGGGGAAAGAUUUAUCGGAUUUGGAUCGGCCCGCGUUAGAUUAGGUAGUUGGUGGGGUAAUGGCCUACCAAGCCUACGAUCUAUAGCUGGUUUUAGAGGAUGAUCAGCAACACUGGGACUGAGACACGGCCCAGACUCCUACGGGAGGCAGCAGUGGGGAAUCUUAGACAAUGGGCGCAAGCCUGAUCUAGCCAUGCCGCGUGAGUGAUGAAGGCCUUAGGGUCGUAAAGCUCUUUCGCCUGUGAUGAUAAUGACAGUAGCAGGUAAAGAAGCACCGGCUAACUCCGUGCCAGCAGCCGCGGUAAUACGGAGGGGGUUAGCGUUGUUCGGAAUUACUGGGCGUAAAGCGCACGUAGGCGGAUUAGAAAGUUAGGGGUGAAAUCCCGGGGCUCAACCUCGGAACUGCCUCUAAAACUCCUAGUCUAGAGUUCGAGAGAGGUGAGUGGAAUUCCAAGUGUAGAGGUGAAAUUCGUAGAUAUUUGGAGGAACACCAGUGGCGAAGGCGGCUCACUGGCUCGAUACUGACGCUGAGGUGCGAAAGUGUGGGGAGCAAACAGGAUUAGAUACCCUGGUAGAAGGGCG